AUACGUAGGGGGCGAGCGUUGUCCGGAAUGAUUGGGCGUAAAGGGCGCGUAGGCGGCCUGUUAAGUCUGGAGUGAAAGUCCUGUUUUCAAGGUGGGAUUUGCUUUGGAUACUGCCGCGCUUGAGUGCAGGAGAGAUUAUCGGAAUUCCCGGUGUAGCGGUGAAAUGCGUAGAGAUCGGGAGGAACACCAGUGGCGAAGGCGGGUAACUGGACUGCAACUGACGCUGAGGCGCGAAAGUGUGGGGAGCAAACAGGAUUAGAUACCCUGGUAGUCCACACUGUAAACGAUGAAUGCUAGGUGUAAGAGGUAUCGACCCCUUUUGUGCCGGAGUCAACACAAUAAGCAUUCCGCCUGGGGAGUACGGCCGCAAGGUUGAAACUCAAAGGAAUUGACGGGG
rnacentral:rRNA from 1 species